UCCUACGGGGGGCAGCAGUGAGGAAUAUUGGUCAAUGGGCGGGAGCCUGAACCAGCCAAGUCGCGUGAGGGACGACGGUCCUACGGAUUGUAAACCUCUUUUGUCGGGGAACAAAGGCGCCCACGGGUGGGCGGAUGAGUGUACCCGAAGAAAAAGCAUCGGCUAACUCCGUGCCAGCAGCCGCGGUAAUACGGAGGAUGCGAGCGUUAUCCGAAUUUAUUGGGUUUAAAGGGUGCGUAGGCGGUCCGUUAAGUCAGCGGUAAAAUUGCGGGGCUCAACCCCGUCGAGCCGUUGAAACUGGCAGA
rnacentral:rRNA from 1 species